CUUAGGAUGAACGCUAGCGACAGGCCUAACACAUGCAAGUCGAGGGGCAGCACAAGGAGCAAUCUGAGGUGGCGACCGGCGCACGGGUGAGUAACACGUAUGCAACCUGCCUGUAAGCGGGGAAUAACCCGUUGAAAGACGGACUAAUACCGCAUAAUACUAAAUUACUGCAUGGUAAUUUAUUUAAACAUUUAUGGCUUACAGAUGGGCAUGCGCAUGAUUAGCUAGUUGGAGAGGUAACGGCUCCCCAAGGCAACGAUCAUUAGGGGUUCUGAGAGGAAGGUCCCCACACUGGUACUGAGACACGGACCAGACUCCUACGGGAGGCAGCAGUGAGGAAUAUUGGUCAAUGGACGAGAGUCUGAACCAGCCAAGUCGCGUGCAGGAAGAAUGUCCUAAUGGAUUGUAAACUGCUUUUGCAGGGGAAUAAAGUGCAUCACGUGUGAUGUUUUGUAUGUACUCUGCGAAUAAGGAUCGGCUAACUCCGUGCCAGCAGCGGC
rnacentral:rRNA from 1 species